rnacentral:rRNA from 1 species
GUACACGCUGUGACUAGCAUAUCAAUAAGCGGAGGAAAAGAAACUAACAAGGAUUCCCCUAGUAACGGCGAGUGAAGCGGGAAGAGCUCAAAUUUGAAAUCUUAAAGGGUUUCCCUUUACGAAUUGUAGUUUAAAGAAGUGUUUUCUGUUGAGGUUUUGGUAAAAGUUCUUUGGAAUAGGACAUCAUAGAGGGUGAGAAUCCCGUAUUUGACCUUUACUUUCAACUUUGUGAUACACUUUCAAAGAGUCGGAUUGUUUGGGAAUGCAGUCCAAAAUGGGUGGUAAAUUUCAUCUAAAGCUAAAUAUUGGCGAGAGACCGAUAGCGAACAAGUACCGUGAGGGAAAGGAUGAAAAGAACUUUGAAAAGAGAGUUAAACAGUACGUGAAAUUGUCAAAAGGGAAGCGUUUGACACCAGUGUUGUUUUUCUGAAAAUCAAUUAAAGAACUGUUUAUGCUAAGCUGUUUAGACUUUAUCAGCUAAUCUGUUUAGUUUUGAGCUUUUCUUUAAUGCACUUUUCAGUUAACAAGUCAACAUCAAUUUCUUUUGCUGUAAAAAAGCUUGAGGAAGGUGGCUUGAGAUUCGUCUUAAGUGUUUAUAGCCUCUUGCCUAUGCAGUCGGAGAGAUUGAGGUCUGCAGCGUAGAUCCUUCGGGGCUAAAUGCAUUUGUGCUAAGUUAUAGCAUUUUAUAGACAACUUGUUGACUAUGAUUUGUCUUGUAGCUUACUCGCUUAUGUUAUUUUACCUACGCUUAGGAUGUUGAGUCGUAGAGCACGCAG